GCAAGUCGAGGGGUAACGGAAGUAGCUUGCUACUAGACGACGACCGGCGCACGGGUGAGUAACGCGUAUGUAAUCUGCCUUGUACAGAGGGAUAGCCAGAGAAAUUUGGAUUAAUACCUCAUAGUAUUACUGAAUCGCAUGAUUCGGUAAUUAAAGCUCCGGCGGUACAAGAUGAACAUGCGUGACAUUAGCUAGUUGGUAAGGUAACGGCUUACCAAGGCCACGAUGUCUAGGGGUUCUGAGAGGAUGAUCCCCCACACUGGUACUGAGACACGGACCAGACUCCUACGGGAGCCAGCAGUGAGGAAUAUUGGUCAAUGGACGCAAGUCUGAACCAGCCAUCCCGCGUGAAGGAUGACUGCCCUAUGGGUUGUAAACUUCUUUUAUAUGCAAAUAAA
rnacentral:rRNA from 1 species